UGUACCUGCCCUAUGGUUUCUAGAGCUGAAACUAAAUGGUUGCAGCUAAAUGCUGUACUAAGGUAGCGUAAUAAUUUGCCUCUUGAUUGGGGGCUAGAAUGAAUGGUUUGACGUAAAAAAAUUUGUCUCCCAGGGWAAAAKKGUAAAGUUUUCUUUUCAGUGAAAAGCCUGAAAUGGAAUUAAAAGACGAGAAGACCCUGUCGAGCUUGAUAAAGCGUACAGAAUAAUUUGUAUAAAUAAGUUUAGCUGGGGCAGCUCCGAACAAACAAAAAGUUUUGUGUGUAAUUGUGAAGAUCCAAUGUGUAUAUUGAAUAAAGAAAAAGUUACCGCAGGGAUAACAGCGUAAUUUUUUCUGAGAGAACUAAUUGAAGAAAAAGAUUGCGACCUCGAUGUUGGAUUAGGGUUACUUUUUGGUGCAGCAGCUAAAAUAAGUAAGACUGUUCGUCUUUUAAAACUCU
rnacentral:rRNA from 1 species